UGACUAGAACCGUUACUCAUC
rnacentral:miRNA from 1 species